rnacentral:tRNA from 1 species
GCCAGUGUGGCAUAGUGGUUUGAGUGUUGGACUAUGACUCUGGAGGCCAGGGUUUGAUUCCCAGCUUGGCCA